AUCGCUUCUCGGCCUUCUGGCUAAGAUCAAGUGUAGUAAAUACAGAAGCAAAAAGGUUUCUUUCUUAAGCAAGGGAUCUGUGGUAUGCAAACAGAGUAGUUUCUUUUUCCUUGUAGAUCUGCACCAGAACAGUUUCUUUUCCUUUGCAGAUCUGCACAGCACUGGGAUCGAUUGCUUUGCUAAUUACUGUGCUUGUCUC